GUUAGGUAGAUUGCUCGUAGACUCGUUCAAACGUUCUUGAUUUUAGGAUAGAUUUGUAUCUUUAGUCUAUUUUAACUGUAUACAUCGGUCGGUUAUGAGUGGAAAGAUGUGUGUGAUAUGGUCGGUUGAUCUCCUUUGAAUAAGGACAAUAAGGAUCACCAGUAGCAAUGAGAGUGCUCUUCUUUUCCUAAAGAACAGUGACAAAACGACUGUAUUUUGAUGAACUCAACAAAAGAAAUAAAAGCAAGCCAUGUAGCUACAGAAGGAAAUUUGAGAGCUUUACAACGAAAUGUGGUGAUGACGAGCACUGUGAUAUCGUUAGACAUAUAACAAAGUGCUUAGUACAUAGCAGUUUACCUUGGAUUCGUUUUGAGUGAUGAUUGCAAAUCCAGCUUACAUUUGACCCAAGUGUUAAACGUAUGCUAGUGAUUGACUGUCCACYUUYAAGAUGAGAA